GUCAGUAAUAAUAUUAAAGAAAAUUGCAUUUGUUCUAGUAAUGUGGUAUGGAAAAUGUUGUUAACGCCACUGUAUUAAGGUUAAAACCAAGUAUUUUCAAUUUCUAGAAAUAUUUUCGAUUACAGUUAAUCCUUAUUAUAUAAAUAACGAUACAUGUGUUACUUGUACAAUUUAUGCAAUGCAGAUUUCCUCAGUAAUUAAGAUGACAUUCAACCUAUAAUGAUUUCAAUCUAAACAAGCUGAAAAGUUGAUCAAUUUUCAUCAUUGAAGUUAUCUUUGCCUUUAAUCGCUGUGUUAUUGUGUAUACUACAAAGAUGAUAUGUCAAUUAUAAGUCUGUGAUUGAGAGUAGUCUCAUUGGCAAUCAUGCCACAUCUUCUUAUAUUUAUUUUAAAUAUAUAAGGUAGGUACGCCAUAAAUCAUUAGAAAAAAUAAAUAAUUUAACUGUAAAAGCUUUAGAAAAGGCAGAAAUACUAGUAUUGGAAAUUGCAAAUAUCUUUAUUUUGUCUACUUAGUUAAUAAUAAACACUGAAAUGUUUUAAUGCUACAAUAUCAUUAAAUAUAUUUAAAAAAGAAAUACUAGUAGUAAGCCUUUUAAUCCUAUUGUAGUUUAACUAGUUUUGAUAUAAACUGUACUAUAGACUAAACAUAAGUGCCGUAAUUGCAGUGCAGAGUCCAUUCAUCAGUUGAAUAAAGCAUUAUU
rnacentral:lncRNA from 1 species